rnacentral:rRNA from 1 species
GAUGAACGCUGGCGGCGUGCCUAACACAUGCAAGUCGAGCGAUUCUCUUCGGAGAAGAGCGGCGGACGGGUGAGUAACGCGUGGGUAACCUGCCCUGUACACACGGAUAACAUACCGAAAGGUAUGCUAAUACGAGAUAAUAUGCUUUUAUCGCAUGGUAGAAGUAUCAAAGCUUUUGCGGUACAGGAUGGACCCGCGUCUGAUUAGCUAGUUGGUAAGGUAACGGCUUACCAAGGCGACGAUCAGUAGCCGACCUGAGAGGGUGAUCGGCCACAUUGGAACUGAGACACGGUCCAAACUCCUACGGGAGGCAGCAGUGGGGAAUAUUGCACAAUGGGCGAAAGCCUGAUGCAGCAACGCCGCGUGAGCGAUGAAGGCCUGGGUCGUAAAGCUCUGUCCUCAAGGAAGAUAAUGACGGUACUUGAGGAGGAAGCCCCGGCUAACUACGUGCCAGCAGCCGCGGUAAU